AUUUAAGAGUUUUAACAAAAAGUUGAGGCACACAAGACUUCCAGCAAAGAAUUGAGUCACACAAGAGUUCCAGCAAAGAGCUGAGGCACACAAGAAAUCCAGCAAAGAGCUGAGGAACACACAAGAGUUCCAGUAAGGAGCCGAGGCAUGCUAUGUUACAACAAAAAACAAAAUGAUGCACCCAGAAAAGAUACUUAUUUAUGAAUAGCUGCCAUAAAAACUUCAAGGGAAAUUUAAGGUCAGUGGAGCCAGGAGCUAUGUCAGAAUGACAGAUACACGAGAUGUUGCCAGCUGCAGAUGUACCUACCACAUAGUUAUGGUCCAACAAAGAUGCAUGGUUUUACUGAUGUACACCAUGAAAAAAGACUUCCAAUAAUGUAGAGCCUAUACAGCCAUUUUCAUGUGUCACAGAUCACGGAUGCAGACACACAGAAUGUUAUUCUUAUGCUGGCAAGAUGUUUGCCACAUAUCGUACCCAAUGUACUGUUGGCUAAAAGAGAGGAGUUAAUCCCCCUAAUUAUCUGUACAGCAAUGUUACAUCCAGACAGUAAAGAGAGGGACAAGUUGCUCAAUAUUUUGUUCAAUCUAAUCAAGAAACCUGAUGAAGAACAGAGGACAGUGCUGAUGAAACAACACAGCCAAAUUCAUGUUCCAAGCAGAUGCUACACCAAACAAGCUGGCCAAGUUGCAUCUUGAGCUUCCUAGAAACAGGCUGCAGCUCAGAAUCAACGUUCCAAGCAGAAUCUACACCACAUAAGCUGGCUGUUCCUAGAAACAGGCUCAGAAUCAACACUGCCAGAUUUACUUUGCGAUCACAAGUGGGCUAGAACUUCAAGGGAACAAUCAUGCUGUUGAGUCUCCAGUCUGACUGAUAGCUUAGCAUUAAAUUGGAUAUUCUGACUGAUAAGGUAUCUAGUGUAUCUUGAAAAACUGACAGACUUGAAGAAAAAAUCUUAUACUUUUACUUACUCCAAGGUUAUAAAGAAAUUUUUUUAAUGAAUUAACUUUGAUAUUUUUCAAAUAGAUUAUUUUUUUAUGUUUUGAAGAAUGUUUACGUUACAAAUGAGUUCAUUAAUCACAUUUUGUUUUAAAAUUGGGCGCAAUUCUAAUGUACUUAGUUUUUGUAAGUCUUAAAGUUUAAAUAUAUUUGAAUUUUUGUCAAAGUAGAACUAAUAAAUUAUUUAUCUGAAUUGUCUAUUAAUUGCCUGUCAAACAUUUUUACAAUAAACGCCUGACUAAAGCUAAUGCAAAAUCCACAUUAAAUGUUGACAUCUCCAUACAGAAGUUUUUUUCAUAUAAUGUAAGCAUAUCAUUUGUACAAUUAUUGGUGAGAAUUGACUGAAAUCAUGGUAGUUGAAACUUCUGUAUUAGUCCACUGAACUUGUCUGAGAAUUUUUUUACUAAGAACAUUUACUUUCACAUUAUUAGUAGCAGUAUUAUUACAGAAAUAAUAACAAUAUUAGGAUUCUGAAACACUUGGGGGAAAAGUCAACCACGGGUUUUAUACAUACUAAUUUUAAAAAGGGUUUUGUCAAAGAUUUAUUGCAUUCAGUUCAAGAUUAUAAGGCCUGUUCAUGUUACAUACCGGUAGUUAGCUUGUCCUGUUAGCCCACUGUACAUAGAGCACAUGAAUAUGAAUUGUGAAAUGGGGAGUUCAAUCCUUGGGCAAGUUGUAGACUAGCCACUAGACUGAUAAUAAGUAUAUUUCUACAUUUUUCCCCUUUUUGUCUAAUUCAAUUUCAUAGAGACAAAAGCCAGUCUGUUUUAGAGAUUUUUCACAGUAAUGAUGUUAAAAUUAUGUUUUUGGACAUAGGAUAUAGACUGGCUCAGUUCACUACAUUCAAUCAUAAAAAUGUAAAAAGAUAUAGUCUAGGAACUAGUCUAGGCAAGGUGUAUUAAUUCCAUGACACUUCUGACAAAGGACUUUGAAGGUUAUAUAAUUGUCAGUUCUGAGUCAUUGUGGGGAAGUUGUCUGUUGAAGUUGAAUACUGGUUGGCUUAACUGCCCAUCAUUGUAUAAAUGAUUAAUGCUGUUAAAAACAGAAUUAUAUAUAAAUAAAUAUUGCUUAUUAACUAUGGAAGUUGAUCUGAAAGAAACAAUAUUUUAUCUUUGGAAAAACAAACUUGGAACUUGGAAUUUGGACUUACUUAAAUACUCAUACUUUAAUAAUUGAACAUGCCCUAACACCUUCUUCUUUGCAUUUACCUUUUAAGUGGUCUUGCGUUCGGAUACUACUUUGAUGCUCAGUGGACAUUGACAAAUAGUUAACCAAUGUAUAGUGUAUAUAUAAGGGCUGAUUUUGAGUAAACUGAAUAUUUAAAGGCUGUUCUUGACUAUACUGAAUAUUUAAGAGCUGAUUUGAGUAUACUAAAUAAGGGCCAACCUUGAGUAUGCUGAAUAUUUAAGAGCUGAUCUUGAGUAGACUGAAUAUUUAGGGGCUGAUCUCGAGUAUACUGAAUAUUUAAGGGCUGUUUCCGAGUAUACUGUAUAUUUAAGGGUUGACCUUGAGUAUACUGAAUAUGAAAGGGCUUAGAGAUCUUGAGUAUAUUGAAUAUUUAAGGGCUGACCUUGAGUAUAUUGAAUAUUUAUGGGUUGAUUUUGAGUAUACUGAAUAUUUAAGGGUUGAUCUUGAGUAUACUGAAUAUGAAAGGGCUGAUUUUGAGUAUACUGAAUAUUUAAGGGUUGAUCUUGAGUAUACAGAAUAAUGUAAUGGCUGAUAUUGAAUAUAAAAAUUGAAAUACAAGGGCUGAUUUGCAGCAAACAGUGGUUGCUAUAUAAUUAUGGAUGUACUAGUGUGACUAAUGAAAGAAAAUGAGUAACUCAAAAUUAUUUGAUUAAUUGAUAUAAAAAAUGCUAGAGUCUUACAUACAUGUAUACAAAUUGUUUAAUAUAAGUCGGUGGUAGAAAGCAAAAGAUGAGAAAUACUGUAAUUUUAACCCUUAUCAUGCUGGAUGUGAUUGAUUCUGCCUUUGCAACCAGUGUUGAUGUCAUGAUCAGCCUGCAUAUCUGUGCAGUCUGAUCAUGAUCUGCACUGUUGGCUAUUCAGCAAGUACCUUUUUGGUAAGCAUCCCUUUUAAUGAUUAAUGGUACUGUCCAAAUUGGAAGAUGGACAAGUUCAUUAUUGAAAUUUAGCAGGGUAAUGGUUAAAGGGUCCUCGGUAGCAGAGAGGUUAUGAUUGCACAAGUUCAUUGACUCAGAUUCACUUGCACUUUACCACUAUUAGUUUGAGUCCUGUUUGAGUAAGGAAGCCAUCCAGGCUAUGUUUUCUUGAGAUAAUUUAAUUGCAAAGUUACUUUCAUAUAAAGCUCUGUCAGUAGCACACAGCAUUUACAGAAGGUGUUAAAUAAUGAUCAGAAAAGGAAGGAAUAUGAAAAUAAUGUUUAAGAAAUCUUAGGGAGGGAUGCAUAAAUAUAGAAAUAAUACAUGCUUUUUUUAGAUCGACUAUACAAAGUAUGGACAGGUGUCCUGCCAGACCCGCCGUCGGCAUCAGCGUUCUUCUGCAUCAGCACCUUGGUUAAAGCUUUGAUGCACUUUCUCUUUAUCUCUGUAAUUACUUGAUGGCUUUGUUUCAAACUUAAAACAAUUAUUCCUCAUCAUCACCCACAUCAUAUGGCAUAAGGGG
rnacentral:lncRNA from 1 species